rnacentral:rRNA from 1 species
CGGAGGGUGCAGGCGUUAUCCGGAUUCACUGGGUUUAAAGGGAGCGCAGGCGGACUGGUAAGUCAGUGGUGAAAUACCUGAGCUUAACUCGGGAACUGCCAUUGAUACUAUCAGUCUUGAAUGUUGUUGAGGUUUGCGGAAUGGGUCAUGUAGCGGUGAAAUGCAUAGAUAUGACCCGGAACACCUAUUGCGAAGGCAGCAGGCUAAACAAAUAUUGACGCUGAGGCUCGAAAGCGUGGGGAUCAAACAGGAUUAGAUACCCUGGUAGUCCACGCCCUAAACGAUGAUUACUCGACAUACGCGAUACACUGUGUGUGUCUGAGCGAAAGCAUUAAGUAAUCCACCUGGGAAGUACGACCGCAAGGUUG